AUUGAACGCUGGCGGCAUGCCUUACACAUGCAAGUCGAACGGUAACGGGCCUUCGGGUGCCGACGAGUGGCGAACGGGUGAGUAAUGUAUCGGAACGUACCUUUCAGUGGGGGAUAACGUAGCGAAAGUUACGCUAAUACCGCAUAUUCUGUGAGCAGGAAAGCAGGGGAGCGCAAGACCUUGCGCUUAUUGAGCGGCCGAUGUCAGAUUAGCUAGUUGGUGAGGUAAAGGCUCACCAAGGCGACGAUCGGUAGCGGGUCUGAGAGGAUGAUCCGCCACACUGGAACUGAGACACGGUCCAGACUCCUACGGGAGGCAGCAGUGGGGAAUUUUGGACAAUGGGGGCAACCCUGGUCCAGCCAUGCCGCGUGAGUGAAGAAGGCCUUCGGGUUGUAAAGCUCUUUCGGUCGGGAAGAAAUCGCAUGGGUUAAUACCCUGUGCGGAUGACGGUACCGGCAUAAGAAGCACCGGCUAACUACGUGCCAGCAGCCGCGGUAAGAC
rnacentral:rRNA from 1 species